AGCAGCACGGGUGACAACAGGAUGGGUGGCUGUCAUUCACUUCGGGGUCUUAGAGGACCCAGAGAAAUGAUGGGUUAUGAAAUACCACCAGGACAUCGGCAGAAUGGUUACCCUGCCAAAAAGAGUAUUCAGGCUUUCAUGAUGGGAAGAAAGGUCUGGAAUAAAGAGAAUUUGAGCUUCAGCAUCACAAGGCAUCAGAUUUUGAGGUCAUCUUCUGUACCUGCCCCUCUCUCAUCCGGGACUUGGAUGUGAUGCACAUCAAGGAACUGAAGGAGGGGGCAGGCUGUGUCAGUUGGAGCUUUCCUGCCCUCCUCUUCUUCCUCCUGACUUGUCUUCAUCCACUGACCACUGUGGCUUUGCACCAACUCUACCACCUCCUGGCAGGUGGAAAGAGAUGCUUUUGCUCAAAUAUUGC